UGUCUUAUUAUUAUACUCCAAAUUUUAUAUUUUAGUAAAAAAGCUAAAAUUAACAUUAAAGACAAGAAGACCCUAUUAAGCUUUAUAAUUAUAAUUUAAUAUCAGAAUAAAUUAAAAAUUAUUUUACUGGGGCAGUAAAUAAAUAAAAUUUUAUUUUUAUAAUAUGAAUACAAUUCUUGAAAAAUCAAAAAAUUUUUAAAAAGGAAUAAGUUACUAUAGGGAUAACAGCAUAAUUUUCUUAAAGAGUUCUUAUCAUCAAGAAAGUUUGUGACCUCGAUGUUGGAUUAAGAUACCUUUUUCAUGCAAUAAUAAAAUAAGGAA
rnacentral:rRNA from 1 species